CCUACGGGAGGCAGCAGUGGGGAAUAUUGGACAAUGGGCGAAAGCCUGAUCCAGCCAUGCCGCGUGUGUGAAGAAGGCCUUCGGGUUGUAAAGCACUUUCAGUGGGGAAGAAAGCCUUGGGGCUAAUACCCUCGAGGAAGGACAUCACCCACAGAAGAAGCACCGGCUAACUCCGUGCCAGCAGCCGCGGUAAUACGGAGGGUGCGAGCGUUAAUCGGAAUUACUGGGCGUAAAGCGCGCGUAGGCGGUCUGAUAAGCCGGUUGUGAAAGCCCCGGGCUCAACCUGGGAACGGCGUCCGGAACUGUCAGGCUAGAGUGCAGGAGAGGAAGGUAGAAUUCCCGGUGUAGCGGUGAAACGCGUAGAGAUCGGGAGGAAUACCAGUGGCGAAGGCGGCCUUCUGGACUGACACUGACGCUGAGGUGCGAAAGCGUGGGUAGCAAACAGGAUUAGAUACCCUUGUAGUC
rnacentral:rRNA from 1 species